rnacentral:tRNA from 1 species
GGCUUGUGGCUCAGUGGCAAAGCACCCAUCUAGCAUGCGUGAGGCACUGGGUUCCAUUCUCAGCACCA